AGCGUACACGGUGGAUGCCCUGGCAGUCAGAGGCGAUGAAGGACGUGCUAAUCUGCGAAAAGCGUCGGUAAGGUGAUAUGAACCGUUAUAACCGGCGAUGUCCGAAUGGGGAAACCCAGUGCAAUUCGUUGCACUAUCGUUAACUGAAUACAUAGGUUAACGAGGCGAACCGGGGGAACUGAAACAUCUAAGUACCCCGAGGAAAAGAAAUCAACCGAGAUUCCCCCAGUAGCGGCGAGCGAACGGGGAGCAGCCCAGAGUCUGAAUCAGCUUGUGUGUUAGUGGAACGGUCUGGAAAGUCCGACGGUACAGGGUGAUAGUCCCGUACACCAAAAUGCACAGGCUGUGAACUCGAAGAGUAGGGCGGGACACGUGGUAUCCUGUCUGAAUAUGGGGGGACCAUCCUCCAAGGCUAAAUACUCCUGACUGACCGAUAGUGAACCAGUACCGUGAGGGAAAGGCGAAAAGAACCCCGGCGAGGGGAGUGAAAAAGAACCUGAAACCGUGUACGUACAAGCAGUGGGAGCACCUUCGGGUGUGACUGCGUACCUUUUGUAUAAUGGGUCAGCGACUUAUAUUCUGUAGCAAGGUUAACCGUAUAGGGGAGCCGCAGGGAAACCGAGUCUUAACUGGGCGUUAAGUUGCAGGGUAUAGACCCGAAACCCGGUGAUCUAGCCAUGGGCAGGUUGAAGGUUGGGUAACACUAACUGGAGGACCGAACCGACUAAUGUUGAAAAAUUAGCGGAUGACUUGUGGCUGGGGGUGAAAGGCCAAUCAAACCGGGAGAUAGCUGGUUCUCCCCGAAAGCUAUUUAGGUAGCGCCUCGUGAACUCAUCUUCGGGGGUAGAGCACUGUUUCGGCUAGGGGGUCAUCCCGACUUACCAACCCGAUGCAAACUACGAAUACCGAAGAAUGUUAUCACGGGAGACACACGGCGGGUGCUAACGUCCGUCGUGAAGAGGGAAACAACCCAGACCGCCAGCUAAGGUCCCAAAGUCAUGGUUAAGUGGGAAACGAUGUGGGAAGGCACAGACAGCCAGGAUGUUGGCUUAGAAGCAGCCAUCAUUUAAAGAAAGCGUAAUAGCUCACUGGUCGAGUCGGCCUGCGCGGAAGAUGUAACGGGGCUAAACCAUGCACCGAAGCUGCGGCAGCGACACUAUGUGUUGUUGGGUAGGGGAGCGUUCUGUAAGCCUGCGAAGGUGNUGCUGGAGGUAUCAGAAGUGCGAAUGCUGACAUAAGUAACGAUAAAGCGGGUGAAAAGCCCGCUCGCCGGAAGACCAAGGGUUCCUGUCCAACGUUAAUCGGGGCAGGGUGAGUCGACCCCUAAGGCGAGGCCGAAAGGCGUAGUCGAUGGGAAACAGGUUAAUAUUCCUGUACUUGGUGUUACUGCGAAGGGGGGACGGAGAAGGCUAUGUUAGCCGGGCGACGGUUGUCCCGGUUUAAGCAUGUAGGCUGAUUGUCCAGGCAAAUCCGGAUAAUCAAGGCUGAGGUGUGAUGACGAGGCACUACGGUGCUGAAGUAACAAAUGCCCUGCUUCCAGGAAAAGCCUCUAAGCAUCAGGUAACAUCAAAUCGUACCCCAAACCGACACAGGUGGUCAGGUAGAGAAUACCAAGGCGCUUGAGAGAACUCGGGUGAAGGAACUAGGCAAAAUGGUGCCGUAACUUCGGGAGAAGGCACGCUGGUGUGUAGGUGAAGCCCCUGCGGGUGGAGCUGAGACCAGUCGAAGAUACCAGCUGGCUGCAACUGUUUAUUAAAAACACAGCACUGUGCAAACACGAAAGUGGACGUAUACGGUGUGACGCCUGCCCGGUGCCGGAAGGUUAAUUGAUGGGGUUAUCCGUAAGGAGAAGCUCUUGAUCGAAGCCCCGGUAAACGGCGGCCGUAACUAUAACGGUCCUAAGGUAGCGAAAUUCCUUGUCGGGUAAGUUCCGACCUGCACGAAUGGCGUAAUGAUGGCCAGGCUGUCUCCACCCGAGACUCAGUGAAAUUGAACUCGCUGUGAAGAUGCAGUGUACCCGCGGCAAGACGGAAAGACCCCGUGAACCUUUACUAUAGCUUGACACUGAACAUUGAGCCUUGAUGUGUAGGAUAGGUGGGAGGCUUUGAAGCGUGGACGCCAGUCUGCGUGGAGCCAACCUUGAAAUACCACCCUUUAAUGUUUGAUGUUCUAACGUUGGCCCCUUACCGGGGUUGCGGACAGUGUCUGGUGGGUAGUUUGACUGGGGCGGUCUCCUCCCAAAGCGUAACGGAGGAGCACGAAGGUUAGCUAAUCCUGGUCGGACAUCAGGAGGUUAGUGCAAUGGCAUAAGCUAGCUUGACUGCGAGCGUGACGGCGCGAGCAGGUGCGAAAGCAGGUCAUAGUGAUCCGGUGGUUCUGAAUGGAAGGGCCAUCGCUCAACGGAUAAAAGGUACUCCGGGGAUAACAGGCUGAUACCGCCCAAGAGUUCAUAUCGACGGCGGUGUUUGGCACCUCGAUGUCGGCUCAUCACAUCCUGGGGCUGAAGUAGGUCCCAAGGGUAUGGCUGUUCGCCAUUUAAAGUGGUACGCGAGCUGGGUUUAGAACGUCGUGAGACAGUUCGGUCCCUAUCUGCCGUGGGCGCUGGAGAAUUGAGGGGGGCUGCUCCUAGUACGAGAGGACCGGAGUGGACGCAUCACUGGUGUUCGGGUUGUCAUGCCAAUGGCACUGCCCGGUAGCUAAAUGCGGAAGAGAUAAGUGCUGAAAGCAUCUAAGCACGAAACUUGCCCCGAGAUGAGUUCU
rnacentral:rRNA from 1 species